GAUGAACGCUGGCGGCGUGCCUAAUACAUGCAAGUCGAACGCAUUGUGGUUGAAAUGAUAUGAAGAACUUGUUCAGAUUUGAUUUUCAACAUUGCAAUGAGUGGCGAACGGGUGAGUAACACGUGGGAAACCUACCUCUUAGCAGGGGAUAACAUUUGGAAACAAAUGCUAAUACCGUAUAAUAAUUAAAACCGCAUGGUUUUAGUUUAAAAGAUGGUCUUGCUAUCACUAAGAGAUGGUCCCGCGGUGUAUUAGUUAGUUGGUGAGGUAAUGGCUCACCAAGACAAUGAUACAUAGCCGAGUUGAGAGACUGACGGCCACAAUGGGACU
rnacentral:rRNA from 1 species